rnacentral:lncRNA from 1 species
AAUAAUUCCUUGGCUGCCUCAGUUACUGCCAUGUAUUCUGCUUCAGUUGUAGAUAAUGCCACAAGUGAUUGCACCAUUGACCUCCAACAUAUGGGCCCACUCGCGAGUGUGAAAACAUAACCUGUAUGAGACCUACUGUCAUCCAAGUCCCCUGCAUAAUCUGCAUCUACAUAUCCUUGAACUGAAAUAUCACCAUGUUGUCUCUCAAACAUGAUCCCGCACUCCAUUGUACCUUUCAAGUACCUGAAAAUCCACUUUACAGCUCUCCAAUGCUCUCUACCAGGAUUAGCCAUAUACUUACUAACCACGCUGACUGCAUGUGCUAAAUCUGGUCUGGUACACACCAUUGCAUACAUCAAACAUCCAACUGCGCUGGCAUAAGGUACCUUUGACAUCUCUGCAACAUCUUCUUCACUCUUUGGGCACUGAGAUAAUCUGAAGUGAUUUGCAAGUGGUGUGGCAACUGAUUUUGCAUCUGACAUGCUAAACAUCUCUAACACUUUCUUCAAAUAGUUUUUCUGAGACACCCAUAAUUUUCUGGCUUUCCUAUCUCUGUUGAUCUCCAUGCCAAGAAUUUUCUUAGCUGGUCCCAAGUCUUUCAUAUCAAACUUACUGCUCAACAAAGAUUUCAAUUUGUCUACCUCAUCUAUAUUCUUG